CGCUAGCUACAGGCUUAACACAUGCAAGUCGAGGGGCAGCAUGGUCUUAGCUUGCUAAGGCCGAUGGCGACCGGCGCACGGGUGAGUAACGCGUAUCCAACCUGCCUUACACUCUUGGACAGCCUUCUGAAAGGGAGAUUAAUACAAGAUGUUAUCAUGAGUAAGCAUUUUCGCAUGAUUAAAGGUUUACCGGUGUAAGAUGGGGAUGCGUUCCAUUAGAUAGUAGGCGGGGUAACGGCCCACCUAGUCUUCGAUGGAUAGGGGUUCUGAGAGGAAGGUCCCCCACAUUGGAACUGAGACACGGUCCAAACUCCUACGGGAGGCAGCAGUGAGGAAUAUUGGUCAAUGGACGAGAGUCUGAACCAGCCAAGUAGCGUGAAGGAUGAAGGUUCUAUGGAUUGUAAACUUCUUUAUACGGGAAUAAACGAAUCCACGUGUGGAUUUUUGCAUGUACCGUAUGAAUAAGGAUCGGCUAACUCCGUG
rnacentral:rRNA from 1 species